GGACAACCUACCCCUCGGGUCGAGGAUAAUCUCGGGAAACUGAGGAUAAUACUCGAUAGAUCAAGAUUCCUGGAAUGGGUUUUGGUCAAAAUGUGAUAACGGCAUCUUUGUUAUUUUCGCCCAAGGAUGGGACUGCGGCCGAUCAGGCUGUUGGUGGGGUAAAGGCCCACCAAACCAGUAACCGGUACGGGCUUUGAGAGAAGGAGCCCGGAGAUGGACACUGAGACAAGGGUCCAGGUCCUACGGGGCGCAGCAGGCGCGAAACCUUCGCAAUGCGCGCAAGCGCGACGAGGUUAUUCCGAGUGAUUUCCGCUGAGGAAAUCUUUUCUCAGAUCUAAAACGUCUUGGGGAAUAAGGGGAGGGCAAGUCUGGUGUCAGCCGCCGCGGUAAUACCAGCUCCUCGAGUGGUCAGGGCGUUUAUUGGGCCUAAAGCAUCCGUAGCCUGCUCGGUAGGUCUCCUGUUAAAUCCAACGGCUCAACCGUUGGCCUGCAGGAGAUACCGCCCGGCUAGGAAGCCGGAAAAGCCGACGGUACUCCCAGGGUAGGGGUAAAAUCCUUUGAUCCCCGGAAGACCACCAGUGGCGAAGGCGGUCCGCCAGAACGCGCUCGACGGUGAGGGAUGAAAGCUGGGGGAGCGAACCGGAUUAGAUACCCGGGUAGUCCCAGCUGUAAACGAUGCGAGCUAGGUGACACGACGCCUUCGGGGCAUCGUGGUGCCGCAGGGAAGCCGUUAAG
rnacentral:rRNA from 1 species